rnacentral:rRNA from 1 species
ACGGGUGAGUAAUGCCUAGGAAUCUGCCUGGUAGUGGGGGACAACGUUUCGAAAGGAACGCUAAUACCGCAUACGUCCUACGGGAGAAAGCAGGGGACCUUCGGGCCUUGCGCUAUCAGAUGAGCCUAGGUCGGAUUAGCUAGUUGGUGAGGUAAUGGCUCACCAAGGCGACGAUCCGUAACUGGUCUGAGAGGAUGAUCAGUCACACUGGAACUGAGACACGGUCCAGACUCCUACGGGAGGCAGCAGUGGGGAAUAUUGGACAAUGGGCGAAAGCCUGAUCCAGCCAUGCCGCGUGUGUGAAGAAGGUCUUCGGAUUGUAAAGCACUUUAAGUUGGGAGGAAGGGCAGUAAAUUAAUACUUUGCUGUUUUGACGUUACCGACAGAAUAAGCACCGGCUAACUCUGUGCCAGCAGCCGCGGUAAUACAGAGGGUGCAAGCGUUAAUCGGAAUUACUGGGCGUAAAGCGCGCGUAGGUGGUUUGUUAAGUUGGAUGUGAAAUCCCCGGGCUCAACCUGGGAACUGCAUCCCAAACUGGCAAGCUAGAGUAUGGUAGAGGGUGGUGGAAUUUCCUGUGUAGCGGUG